rnacentral:sRNA from 1 species
UAGAAGCAGGAGGGAGCAUGUAGGGAACUGUCCAGCGCUGCUGUGCUGAAACCCAGGGCCUAGAGGGUAGCACAGUUCCUCCUAUCAUCAGCUAAAGAACUGUCCAAGCAGCUGGGGUAGCACAGAGUUAAGCUUUGGCCCCAGGCUGUGGUUCAUUCUGCUGUUCUGACACCUCCUGCUGCUGGCUACUCAGAUUCCUGCCGGCUGAACUUCCCCUGGGAGAUCUCUAUGCUUCGUGCACUGGAUGGAGCUCAAACCUGUAUUCGGAAGGCCUUGAUACAAACUGGACUUAGCCUGCCUUGUCCUGGUUGACCUAUUUCCCAGGAAGCAGAACUGGAGUCAGAGGCUGUUUAUUGAGGCGAACCAUUGAGAAGAACAGCAGUUAGGAUGGGGCGUGUGAAGUAGGAGGAGGGAGAGCCCACGUGAUGAGGAGGUAUUUAUUUCUUGUACUUUCUAUCUGGAGCCUGGGAACCAGAGAGUGCUUGAAGACAAUGGAAGGCAGAGAGGAAGUUGGAAGAUGGAUGUGUGGGUACUGAUCGGGGAGAGCUCAACAGUGAGGAGAGAGCCAUAGUAUGGGGACCAUAGGAGUCUCUGCCCCCGGCAGCCGUGGUCCUACUCGCAGUCCUCCCACCUACCCGAAUAAGAACUUUGGAAAAACUCUCCGAGUCCAAACCCAGAAAGAGGGAGAGAUCGUGUUCACAAUCUGUUCAACAGACGAGAACAGCUCAAUCCUCCAGGAGUACGGGACAAAACCAAGGCUGCCAUCUCCAACCAGGGGCUCACGCAGUCCGUACACACAUCUUAGUUCUUAGGGCUCAGCCGUGGAUUUUUUUUUCCAUUGCAGUGUUUCUCGGAUACAACCUUUCAUUCUUCGUUCUUCCCUUUAGACAAUAUCCUGCGUCGACCUUGGAAAUUCUGAGAUGAUAGGCCUGUUCCAACAUGACCAGGUUUGUGUAGUAUUUGGGAUGGAAAUAGAGCAUCUGUGAAUGGGAAACAGAUACUCACCCACUGAACUACAUCCCUAGCCUCCCUUCCUGCUUUCUUAGAUAAAAGUUUCCCAGAGCCUGUGUAAGUUGGAGAUGUUCUGGAGAACUUCUCAGGUAGUUCCAUUGUUAGGUGGACAACGUCAAACGUCGCUGUGCAGUCCUAGAUGGCAGAGGCCAUUCACUCGGUCUGCUCUCAAUGCAAUGAAGGGAUGCAGAAAAUGGAAGGUGAAUAAGUCGGAGUAUGGGAAUGUCACAAACCAGUGAUGUGGUCAUUUAGUAGCAUGUCACGCAUUAUGAAUAGAACUAUCUAUACUAUUCUUCGGUGUGAAUGGCCGUGUAGUAGGGUCACUUGGAUCAGCCUCACCAUACACACAUGAGCAAUGAGUGCACUGUGCUACAAUGUUGCAGGGCCCUUAGUUUAUAGGGAUUUUUUUUCAGCCCUGCUAGGGUCUUACGGGAAUGCUGUGGGACACACAUCUUUUUGUUGCUUGCAAUAUUAUAUAGCACAUGUCGGUUUGGCCUUCUGGAAGUUUCUUCUGUCUUGUGAAUGUCUAUCUAUCCUGUGUUCUGUAUACAAUCAGAAGACAAAAUAUCACUCUAUUAUUUUCUUCUCUUUUUAUCAUUGCUGUGAUUCUUAAUUUUGAUACAAAGCCCCAUGCUGGUGUUUAAAAGUCUAGCCCUUCUGUUUCUGUCUAGAACACUCUGUCCCUAAAUUCAACAUGCAUCUUGUGCCUUCCCCUAGCUGGCUUACUUUGUGAUGCCCAAAAUCACAUUGCUUGUUUUGUUGUUGAAAGUGUUAUCACACCGCACAUGCUCUGACUGCUCCCUUUGCACCCACCACAACCUAUUCAAGUAUUAAUGAGAUUAAAUGUAUAGAAAAGUAUAGUCUCUUUCUGAUACAGUCAGUCAUCCUCACAUAUUAAUACACCCCAAACCUCACUGGUUGUAACCUAGGGUUCCCUAUUCCUGAGUCCUCAUUGUUAGAGAGGCAGAAAGGAAACCUGAUCUCAAAUUUUAAUCCACAAGUUUCUUAAACCAGUCACUCAGACCCCUCUUAUCUGAUAUUCUGAAAUUCCAUUUUAAUUUUUCUUAAAAUGUUCAUCAUAUAUAACACUAUCUUAUUUGCACACUACAACUGUCCAUCCAUCCCCACUUCACUGCUAAGUUGUACUGGGUCUUACCUAAUACCGUACCCCUCAGCAUCUUGCUGGUCUAUGGCAUUAAUCAGAAAAGUGUAGUUGAAGAAUGAACAAAUCUGGUUCACAGAGCCUCCUUGCACAGGGUUAACCCAUGUGGAUAUUUCACUCUCCUGGCCAACAGCUCUCUAACACAAAUGUGACUUCAAGUGAUAAUUAUUUACUAUACCAAUGCUAUCAAACUGUCCCCACUCACACAAGCAUCUUAUUUCUGCACCUACACACAGGUCUAGUGGUGAAAGUCAAAUUUUAAAUAUGGAGAUCUCUGGUUUUAGACUAUGACAGAACUAGAUUCAGCCUCCACUUGGAAGCCAGGUGAAUUUUAGCAAGUUGUUCUUUCUGAACUCCAAGAGAAAAGGAAAAGAAACAUCUUUUCCUUUGAGACUUGCUGGGAAGAUUUAAUGAGAUAUUUGUGUUAAAUGUCUUGGACGUAAUAAAUCAUUAAGCUAAGAUACUUUUAAUUUCAAAAAUGCCCUUAGUAAGCAUGGAGCAUAUUAUAUAUAAUAUACACAUUUUAAAGAUGUAUUUUAUUUUAAAUUAUGCUUAUGUGCAUAUUAUAUAUUGUGCAUGGAGAGAGGUAUAUGGACAUGAACACAAGUACCCACAGAGGCCAGAAAAGGAUAUCAGAUCCUCGAGAGGAGGUUGUGAGCCAUCCAGUGUAGACUAGAACUAAGAGUAGAACUCAAGUCCUCUUCAAAAGCAGUAUAUAGGCUUAACCUCUGAGCAACC